rnacentral:rRNA from 1 species
GAUGAACGCUGGCGGCGUGCCUAAUACAUGCAAGUCGAGCGAACAGACGAGGAGCUUGCUCCUUUGACGUUAGCGGCGGACGGGUGAGUAACACGUGGAUAACCUACCUAUAAGACUGGGAUAACUUCGGGAAACCGGAGCUAAUACCGGAUAACAUGUUGAACCGCAGGGUUAAACAGUGAAAGACGGUUUGGCUGUCACUUAUAGAUGAUCCCGCGCCGCAUUUGCUAGUGGGUAAGGUAAGGGCUAACCAAGGAAACGAUGGGUAGCCGACCGGAGAGGGUGAUCGGGCACACUGGAACUGAGACACGGUCCAGACUCCUACGGGAGGCAGCAGUAGGGAAUCUUCCGCAAUGGGCGAAAGCCUGACGGAGCAACGCCGCGUGAGUGAAGAAGGUCUUCGGAUCGUAAAACUCUGUUAUUAGGGAAGAACAAAUGUGUAAGUAACUAUGCACGUCUUGACGGUACCUAAUCAGAAAGCCACGGCUAACUACGUG